AACGCACAUUGCGCCCUCUGGUAUUCCGGAGGGCAUGCCUGUUCGAGCGUCAUUACACCACUCAAGCCUAGCUUGGUAUUGGGCGUCGCGGUCACACGCGCGCCUCAAUUGUACCGGCCGAGCACCCGAUCUCCGAGCGUAGAAGAAAUAUUUUCGCUUUCGAGUUAGGGGACUUGCGCCGUUAAACCUCUUUACAAAGGUUGACCUCGGAUCAGGUAGGGAUACCCGCUGAACUUAA
rnacentral:misc_RNA from 1 species